rnacentral:rRNA from 1 species
GAUGAACGCUGGCGGCGUGCUUAACACAUGCAAGUCGAACGGAAAGGCCUCUGCUUGCAGGGGUACUCGAGUGGCGAACGGGUGAGUAACACGUGGGUGAUCUGCCCUGCACUUCGGUAUAAGCCUGGGAAACUGGGUCUAAUACCGGAUAGGACAAUGGUUUGGAUGCUGUUGUGGAAAGUUUUUCGGUGUGGGAUGAGGUCGCGGCCUAUCAGCUUGUUGGUGGGGUAAUGGCCUACCAAGGCGUCGACGGGUAGCCGGCCUGAGAGGGUGCACGGCAACAGUGGGACUGGGACUGGGCCAAGACCCCGACGGGAGGGAGAGGCGGGGAAGAGGGAACAAUGGGAGCAAGCCUGAUGCAGAGACACCGCUGGCGGGAUGACGGCCAUCGGGUUGGAAUCGUCUUGCGCUAGUGACGAAGAUGUUUUUGGCAGUAACGUGGAGAUGAAGCACGGGUUAAUUACGG